CAAGAGCGUAUAUUAAAGUUGCUGCGGUUAAAAAGCUCGUAGUUGGAUUUCAGUCUAGGAAGGUUAACUCGCCGAAAGGUUGUACGUUGAUUUUCCUCAGACUUCGUCAGAAGCUCGUGCUGCACUUAACUGUGUGGUACGAUGUUCUGACCUUCUACCUUGAGGAAAGUAGAGUGUUUCAGGCAGGCUACCCAGCUUGAAUACAUUAGCAUGGAAUAAUGAAAUGGAUCUCGGUUCGAUUUCGUUGGUUCUAGAGCUGAGGUGAUGAUCAAUAGGAACAGGCGAAGGUAUUCGUACUUGAGAGUGAGGAGUGAAAUCCGAUGAUCUCUUAAAGACGAUCCGAGGCGAAAGCAUUUGUCAAGGAUGUUUUCACUGA
rnacentral:rRNA from 1 species